GAUGAACGCUGGCGGCGUGCCUAAUACAUGCAAGUCGAGCGAACAGAUGAGGAUCUUGCUCCUCUUACGUUAGCGGCGGACGGGUGAGUAACACGUGGAUAACCUACCUAUAAGACUGAGAUAACUUCGGGAAACCUGAUCUAAUACCGGAUAAUAUAUUGAACCGCAUGGUUCAAUAGUGAACAACGGUUUUGCUGUCACUUAUAGAUGGAUCCGCGUCGCAUUAGCUAGUUGGUAAGGUAACGGCCUACCAAGGCAACGAUGCGUAGCCGACCUGAGAGGGUGAUCGGCCACACUGGAACUGAGACACGGUCCAGACUCCUACGGGAGGCAGCAGUAGGGAAUAUUCCGCAAUGGGCGAAAGCCUGACGGAGCAACGCCGCGUGAGUGAUGAAGGUCUUCGGAUCGUAAAACUCUGUUAUUAGGGAAGAACAAAUGUGUAAGUAACUAUGCACGUCUUGACGGUACCUAAUCAGAAAGCAACGGCUAACUACGUG
rnacentral:rRNA from 1 species